rnacentral:rRNA from 1 species
UACGAAGGGGGCGAGCGUUGUUCGGAUUUACUGGGCGUAAAGGGCGCGCAGGCGGCAGAUCAAGUCAGACGUGAAAGCCCCGGGCUUAACCUGGGAACUGCGUUUGGGACUGGUUUGCUAGAGAUCGGGAGAGGAGAGUGGAAUUCCCAGUGUAGAGGUGAAAUUCGUAGAUAUUGGGAAGAACACCGGUGGCGAAGGCGGCUCUCUGGACCGAUACUGACGCUGAGGCGCGAAAGCUAGGGGAGCAAACGGG